UCCGGUUUGUCACCGGCAGUCUCCCUAGAGUGCCCUUGCGUAGCAACUAGGGACAAGGGUUGCGCUCGUUGCGGGACUUAACCCAACAUCUCACGACACGAGCUGACGACAGCCAUGCAGCACCUGUGUUACGGUUCUCUUUCGAGCACCCUCACAUCUCUGUGAGGUUCCGGACACGUCAAGGGUAGGUAAGGUUUUUCGCGUUGCAUCGAAUUAAUCCACAUAAUCCACCGCUUGUGCGGGUCCCCGUCAAUUCCUUUGAGUUUUAACCUUGCGGCCGUACUCCCCAGGCGGUCAACUUCACGCGUUAGCUUCGUUACUGAGUCAGUGAAGACCCAACAACCAGUUGACAUCGUUUAGGGCGUGGACUAC
rnacentral:misc_RNA from 1 species